rnacentral:lncRNA from 1 species
GUCACAGAAUAUUUUUGGUCACGAAUUCAAAAUUUUUUAGGCCACCAAUUAUUCAUCGGUCACAUAUUUAAAACUUUUAUUGGUCAUAACUCAUUUUCCCAUUGCCACUUAUUGAAUUAAUUUGUCACGAUUAAUUUUUCGAUCACAACCUAAUUAUUUGUCAGUCACAAUGGAAAGUUACAAAUACAAUUUUUAGGUCACAUAUUCAAUUGAGAGUCACAGUCACAAUUUUCAGCACCGCCAAUAGCGUUGCCAACGUAGCCAGCACCACUCCCUCUACCCUCAUCGCGGCCAGCACCACCCCACACUGCAUCAACCCAUUUCCUCAAAUCGCCAACACAAACGCCCACAAACGGUGCAGCCACCACAACGGGCACCACCCCCAAACCAUUCCACAACCAAACCACAGAUCAAAUCAUUCCACACCACCGCACCAAAACAUUCCACAAUCAAGCACCUCCAUUGCGUACACACACACAGUCGAUCUACACAGGGUGUUGCUUUUGGCCGCAGCAGUGUUGCACCCACACACAUACACACCGCCGUUAUUAACCACCAAUGCACGUACACACUGCCGCCGCGCGCACGCCACCACCCACAUAACAAAUCCACAACAGAUCUCUCUCACCUCUCUCGUCGCUGAUCUACACCGCAUCAACAGACUCCAAUUCUAGCCACGAUGGCUGGAGCAAGUUCUUCAUUGCCGGAGCAACUUCAUCGUCGCCGCCGCCCUAAAAUUAUAGUGAGAAACGAGAGAAAAGAGGAUGGUGACUGGUGUCAAAGAGAGAGAAAGAAGAGAGGAACGGGGCUUAGAGAGAGAAUGGGUUUUUCUA